rnacentral:tRNA from 1 species
GGGGCAGUGGCAGAUUGGUUAUUGCGGCGGAUUGUAAAUCCGUGGGUUUUCCCUAAGGAGGUUCAAUUCCUCCCUGCUCCA